rnacentral:rRNA from 1 species
CAAGUCGAACGCGAAAGCCCCGCAAGGGGUAAGUAGAGUGGCAAACGGGUGAGUAACGCGUGGGUGACCUGCCUUCGAGCGGGGGAUAACGUUCCGAAAGGGACGCUAAUACCGCAUAACAUCCUGCCUUUUAAGAGGUGGAGAUCAAAGCGGCGUAGCAAUACGUCGCACUCGAAGAGGGGCCCGCGUCCGAUUAGCUAGUUGGUGAGGUAACGGCUCACCAAGGCAACGAUCGGUAGCCGGCCUGAGAGGGCGGACGGCCACACUGGGACUGAGACACGGCCCAGACUCCUACGGGAGGCAGCAGUGGGGAAUUGUUCGCAAUGGGCGCAAGCCUGACGACGCAACGCCGCGUGGAGGAUGAAGAUCUUCGGGUCGUAAACUCCUUUCGAUCGAGACGAAUAACUUCCGGGUGAACAAUCCGGAGGAAUGACGGUACCGAGAGAAGAAGCCCCGGCUAACUCCGUGCCAGCAGCCGCGGUAAUACGGGGGGGGCAAGCGUUGUUCGGAAUUACUGGGCGUAAAGGGCUUGUAGGUGGCCAACUAAGUCAGACGUGAAAUCCCUCGGCUUAACCGGGGAACUGCGUCUGAUACUGGAUGGCUAGAGUGUGGGAGAGGGAUGCGGAAUUCCAGGUGUAGCGGUGAAAUGCGUAGAUAUCUGGAGGAACACCGGUGGCGAAGGCGGCAUCCUGGACCACGACUGACACUGAAAAGCGAAAGCCAGGGGAGCAAACGGGAUUAGAUACCCCGGUAGUCCUGGCCCUAAACGAUGAAUGCUUGGUGUGGCGGGUAUCAUCCCUGCCGUGCCGAAGCUAACGCAUUAAGCAUUCCCCCUGGGAGUACGGUCCCAGGCUUAAACUCAAGGAAUGACGGGGCCCCACAACCGUGAACAUGUGUUCAUUC